rnacentral:rRNA from 1 species
UACGAAGGGGGCGAGCGUUGUUCGGAUUUACUGGGCGUAAAGGGCGCGUAGGCGGCCCACCAAGUCAGGCGUGAAAGCCCCGGGCUCAACCUGGGAACUGCGUUUGAUACGGUGUGGCUAGAGUUCGGGAGAGGAGAGUGGAAUUCCCAGUGUAGAGGUGAAAUUCGUAGAUAUUGGGAAGAACACCGGUGGCGAAGGCGGCUCUCUGGACCGAUACUGACGCUGAGGCGCGAAAAGCGUGGGGGAGCAAAACAGGGAUUAAGAAAACCCCCAG